UUUCCAAACACUUAACCAAUCCCUCAUGCUCGCACACUACCAUUUCCAAGCACUGAAACCUCUCACAUGGCCGCCGCCGCCCUCUUCUCUCAUCUCACCUUCCCUUCGCGUGUCUGAACAUGGCCGCCGCCGCCCUCUCCGCCCUCUCCUCUCAUCUCACCUUCCCGACGCGUGUCUGAAUCUUACAUGGCCGCCGCAGCCCUCUCUUCUCCACCGCUUGUCGCUCACAAACCACAAUAAGCUUAAGGGAAAGCUCCUCUCCUCUCCUCUCCACCGCCGCCGCCCUCAUCCUCCGUUGCCAGUUAAGGAAAACGAAAAGGGGUAAAGAAAACGAAAAGGGGCAAAAGCAACACAAGGAACAACAAGAGAUCCAGUUGUUGCCAGAACCAGAACACUAAGCCAAGAGGAACCAGUACAACUUUUAAUAUCAAGAAGCAUGGAUGUGCCUGAAAAUAGGAGAUGGAUGGAUAAGAUUGGAUUGUGAUAGGCAUGUGACUGAAGAAUUCAUUAUAGGAAUUCAUGAUUUUAUUAAGUAUCGAUUCCUUCAUCUGAGCACUUUAGGAGAUUAGAAAAUUCGACUGAAAAGAAACCUGAUCAUUGGGACUUAUUUGAAAGGUCUCACAAACUAAAAAAUGAUCCCACAAAAUGGGUUUCCCCAUUAGCAGAGCAGUUUGCGGUUGAUUUUGAAACACAAAUUGCUGCAAGAGACUCACAGGAGAAUGAAGAUGGUGCCCACAAAAAAUCAAAUGAUGACAUCUACUUAGAGGUUGUUGGGGGUGCGAACAAGAAGGGGCGGAUUUAUGGAUUAGGUGUAGAGGCUGGAAAGUUCAAAUGUUCUAAGGCCACAUCAUCUCAUGGCGUCUCACCCUCAGAGUAUGAGACAAUGAGAAAUAUUGUUUCUACUUUAACAGAGGAUAACAAGAAGCUAAAGGGAAAAAUGAAGACAUAUGAUGAAAAAUUUGAAUACAUGGACAGAUUCUUGGAGAGCUUUCCUCAAAGCCUGGCUUCACGCUCUAUUGAACAACCACCUACAUAUCAGCAUAACAUAGAUGAUGAAGAAUUAGAGGAUGAUUUGGAUGGUAUUUGAUUUAGAUGAAUAUAUGUAUUUGAUACUAUGUUUUUAAUUAUGCUUGACAUUUUAACAUGACUAUGUAUGGAUUCACUACUACGGUUCUGUAUGUUGAUGAACAUGAUAUAUAUUAGAUAUGAAACUUCAAAUCAA